rnacentral:rRNA from 1 species
UUGUAAACCUCUUUCAGCAGGGAAGAAGCGAAAGUGACGGUACCUGCAGAAGAAGCGCCGGCUAACUACGUGCCAGCAGCCGCGGUAAUACGUAGGGCGCAAGCGUUGUCCGGAAUUAUUGGGCGUAAAGAGCUCGUAGGCGGCUUGUCACGUCGGGUGUGAAAGCCCGGGGCUUAACCCCGGGUCUGCAUUCGAUACGGGCUAGCUAGAGUGUGGUAGGGGAGAUCGGAAUUCCUGGUGUAGCGGUGAAAUGCGCAGAUAUCAGGAGGAACACCGGUGGCGAAGGCGGAUCUCUGGGCCAUUACUGACGCUGAGGAGCGAAAGCGUGGGGAGCGAACAGGAUUAGAUACCCUGGUAGUCCACGCCGUAAACGGUGGGAACUAGGUGUUGGCGACAUUCCACGUCGUCGGUGCCGCAGCUAACGCAUUAAGUUCCCCGCCUGGGGAGUACGGCCGCAAGGCUAAAACUCAAAGGAAUUGACGGGGGCCCGCACAAGCAGCGGAGCAUGUGGCUUAAUUCGACGCAACGCGAAGAACCUUACCAAGGCUUGACAUACACCGGAAAACCCUGG